rnacentral:rRNA from 1 species
UGGGCAACCUGCCCUCAGCUCUGGGAUAACUCCAAGAAAUUGGGGCUAAUACCGGAUAUGACUGCUGACCGCAUGGUCUGGUGGUGGAAAGAUUUAUCGUCUGGGGAUGGGCCCGCGGCCUAUCAGCUAGUUGGUGGGGUAGUAGCCUACCAAGGCGACGACGGGUAGCCGGCCUGAGAGGGUGACCGGCCACACUGGGACUGAGACACGGCCCAGACUCCUACGGAAG